UCUCCUGGGGUCUUCUAUUGGUUCCUAUGGGUCUCUAUUGACCUCUAUGGGUCCGUUGUGGCCCAUACUGUUCUAUACUGGUCCAUACUGGUCCAUACUGGUCUAUACUGGUCCAUACUGGUCCAUACUGGUCUAUACUGGGGUUGGAAGGGGUUGGACAAUGGGUUCUCCUGGGAUCUUCUAUUGGUUCCUAUGGCUCUCUAUUGACCUCUAUGGGUCCGUAGCGGCCCAUACUGGUCCCUAUUGGUCUAUACUGGUUUCUACUGGUCCAUAUUGGUCUAUACUGGUCCAUACUGGUCUAUACUGGUCUAUACUGGUCCAUACUGGUCUAUACUGGUCCAUACUGGUCCAUACUGGUGUUUGAUAGGGGUUCAACAAUGGGCUCUCCUGGGAUCUUCUAUUGCUUCCUAUGGCUCUCUAUGGACCCCUAUGGGUCCCUAUUGGUCUAUACUGGUUUCUACUGGUCCAUACUGGUCUAUACUGGUCUAUACUGGUCCAUACUGGUUUAUACUGGUCCAUACUGUGGUGUUGAAGGGUUGGACAAUGGUCUCUCCUGGGAUCUUCUACUGCUUCCUAUGGGCCUCUAUUGACCACUAUGGGUCCCUAUUGGUCCAUACUGGUUUCUACUGGUCCGUACUGGUCCAUACUGGUCCAUACUGGUCCGUACUGGUCCAUACUGGUUUAUACUGGUU
ensembl:lncRNA